GCUCUUCCUCGACUCUCCGUUGACGCCGCAGAGCAUCCCGAGCCGAGCUCAAGGGAUGACUUUGUAGAUGCCCCCCACUCAGAUCAGGGGCUUACUUGUAAACUCCUACGGAGGGGGUGCUCUUCCUCGGCUCUCCAUUGACGCCACAGAGCAUCUCGAGCCGAGCUCAAGGGAUGACUUUGUAGAUGCCCCCCACUCAGAUCAAGGGCU
rnacentral:lncRNA from 1 species